rnacentral:rRNA from 1 species
UACGUAGGUGACCAGCGUUGUCCGGAUUUACUGGGCGUAAAGAGCGCGCAGGCGGUCGUUCAAGUCGAGUGUGAAAGCCCCCGGCUCAACUGGGGAGGGUCAUUCGAUACUGAUCGACUUGAAGGCAGGAGAGGGAAGUGGAAUUCCCGGUGUAGUGGUGAAAUGCGUAGAGAUCGGGAGGAACACCUGUGGCGAAGGCGGCCACCUGGGCCGACCCUGACGCUGAGGCGCGAAGGCGUGGGGAGCGAACGGG